ACUACAUGAAGUUGGAAUCGCUAGUAAUCGCGGAUCAGCAUGUCGCGGUGAAUACGUUCCCGGGUCUUGUACACACCGCCCGUCACACCAUGGGAGCGGGUUUUACCAGAAGUAGGUAGCUUAACCGUAAGGAGGGCGCUUACCACGGUAGGAUUCGUGACUGGGGUGAAGUCGUAACAAGGUAGCCGUAUCGGAAGGUGCGGCUGGAUCACCUCCUUUCUAG
rnacentral:rRNA from 1 species